AACGACUCUCGACAACGGAUAUCUCGGCUCUCGCAUCGAUGAAGAACGUAGCGAAAUGCGAUACUUGGUGUGAAUUGCAGAAUCCCGUGAACCAUCGAGUCUUUGAACGCAAGUUGCGCCUGAAGCCACUAGGCCAAGGGCACGCCUGCCUGGGUGUCACGCA
rnacentral:rRNA from 1 species